AACAUGACAAAUUUAUUUGAAAGUGGGCAUUGCAAUGUAGAAUAUGGUGUCAUAGUAAACUAUAGGUGUAUUCAGGGAGGUAAAGGAAGAUAAGGGGUUUAAAAGGAAAAACGAGGAGGAUUACGUAAGUUGUUUUGAAACAAUUAUCCUUGGCUACAAAGAUCAGUAACAAAGGGGAUGGCCAGUCCAAGGUUGGACAGGCAGUUGCUGCGCAAAUGUCCUUGAAGCAUUUUUUUGUGUAGUUUUGUGGCCUUUGUGCAAGGUUGUGGUUUUGGCAGUCUUUUGUGCUAAUUCUUUAUAUCAGGCAAUUAUUAGUGAGAACUUUCCCAUCACGGCUUUCCCUGACUCCAUUCUCUGACAGCUUUCACAAUCUAGAGACAGAAUCCCGGAGGGAGAGGAGUACCAAAUAGCUUAAGAGUUUUUUUUUGUUUUUGUUUUUUUUCUUAAAAAAAAAACCGCUAAACUCUACCCUGAUCAGUGAAAAGAAUUUAGCUGAAAGAUGCAGUUUCUUCUUGGCAGAUUCAGACAAGAAGUGCGGCGGAAGCUUACACCUGCACGUGGUGGGACAGAGGCAAGAACGGAUGGUCUGGCUGAGGCUGAGAGAACCAAGCUGGAUUAGGAUCGGCUUGAGGGCCCGGCGUCGUCAGUGGUGACCUCUCUGACCUGAGGCAACUAUAAUGAAUGGAAAGGAAACCGGAUUGUACUUUAA
rnacentral:lncRNA from 10 species